GCGCAGCAGUCGCGAAACCUCCGCAAUACACGAAAGUGUGACGGGGCCAUCCCGAGUGCCGUCCGCUGAGGACGGCUUUUCCCCAGUGUACACAGCUGGGGGAAUAAGGAGAGGGCAAGCCUGGUGUCAGCCGCCGCGGUAAUACCAGCUCUCCGAGUGGUGGGGACGCUUAUUGGGCCUAAAGCAUCCGUAGCCGGCUGGGCAAGUCCUCCGUUAAAUCCAACGAUUCAAUCGUUGGGCUGCGGGGGAUACUGUCCAGCUUGGGGGCGGGAGAGGCCGACGGUAUUCCCGGGGUAGGGGUGAAAUCCUAUAAUCCCGGGAGGACCACCAGUGGCGAAGGCUGUCGGCUAGAACGCGCCCGACGGUGAGGGAUGAAAGCUGGGGGAGCGAACCGGAUUAGAUACCCGUGUAGU
rnacentral:rRNA from 1 species